rnacentral:rRNA from 1 species
GACGAACGCUGGCGGCGUGCUUAACACAUGCAAGUCGAACGAAGUGGCGAACGGGUGAGUAAUACGUGGGUAACCUGCCCUCCUUUUUGGGAUAAGCCUUGGAAACGGGGUCUAAUACCGAAUAAAGGGGGAUGUGCUCGGGGUCUAUCAGCUGGUUGGUGGGGUGAUGGCCUACCAAGCCGGUGACGGGUAGCCGGCCUGAGAGGGUGACCGGCCACGUGGGGACGGAGAGACGGCCCAGACACGUACGAGUAGCGGCAGUGGGGGAAAUGGCGCAAUGGGCGAGAGGCUGAUGCAGCGGCGCCGUGUGGGGGAUGGAGUCGUUCGGGUUGUAAACCUGGGUCGAUAGCGAACGGGUAGGUGGAGAAGAAGCGCCGGCUAACUACGUGCCAGCAGCCGCGGUAAUUC